GUCAAAAUGACUUUUCUUCUCAUUUCUGUUCUUUGCAGAAUGUGAACAUUCAAAGAAGCUAGAGUAACAUAAACAAGAGUAACACCACCACGGUUGUUAAGGAAAUAUCAUUAUAUUUCUACAGGCUCAGCGGGUCAGAAGGAGGGUGGACUACUAUGUAAAGACUAUUUCACAGGCUCGGGGAAUUUCUCAGGCAAUAUAACUUGUUCAAGGUGUGAAACAGGAUCUGAACCCAGGUGGUCUUGCUCAGUGUGAAGUAUGAUAGCAAUUAUCUCAGGUAGAAACUGCAGUUUUUAACCUUAACUUUAACCCUGCUGUUUGGCCUCUGUAAUUAUUUGCUUGCUAAAAUAAUAGAAAAGUUAUUUUGAUUUUCUGAACUUAUGUAUGCUAUCCCAAUCGAUUGAAUACUCAAUUGAUGGUGGUUUGAAUAUCCCAUUGAUUGUGAUCUCACCGGUUAUUGAAGCACAUUCUCCUGGAAACCAGGACAGCACAAUGACCCUAAAUUGCCUCAGUAGCUACAGAUAAUGCAUUACAGUUAACUCAGUGGUCCCAGAAUCUGGACAGCACAAUUAUUCUAAACUAGAGGUCUGGUGUACGACAUUCAUGGACUGAGAGGGGGAUGCAAGUGGGGGAGGGGGAGGGGAGCCUGUGCCUUUUAGCAAUCCCUCAGUCCAGCCUGCGCACCUUUAGCAGUUCAGAAGUUCCUUGAAGGGAGUGGGCUUAAGCUGUCAAUUGACAUCCUUAGCACUGCCAGGAAGGCAGGAGAGGCUCCUGUCACUGCAGCUGCGCUUGCCAGCCUCGGUCAGCCAGGCUUGUGGCUGAGCAGCGCUCCC